ACCUAAUAAGAAAAAUGGGUUAUGACAAUGACUGUUUUGUUGGAUACAGCAAUGAAGGACUGUUGUGCUGCAUCUGCCAAGAUGUUUUGAAAGACCCUUUCUUUCCAAGCUUCCUGUGAACAUGCUUUCUGUGCUUCCUAUAUUCAUGGAUGGUUAGUACAUCACAGCAACUGCCCUGAAGAUAAGCAAGCGCUUGAUGUCUCAAUGCUCCAACCUUUUUACAGGGCCUCCCAAAUAAUGAGCUAACUCUGGUGAUGCUUGUGUCGGUUUCAUCAUAUAUGUAUACAUCCCUGGAAAGUAGACUACCGAGUGACAGUCUACUAAAUGCCAAUGUUUACUGGGAGGAUACAUCCAUGAAGUUUUAUUGCAUUUAAAUAAACAGAAGACAGUAUUGGUGAUGAGACAGUCAUGCAGAGAAGACCAAGACAGAAAUUCAGAAGACAAUAAAGUGAAAACAACUACUGAAAAAAGCCUCAUAGAAAAAUGCUAAUUUGACUUAAAUCCAACAGGAAUUCCUUGAAGAGUUAAAGAGAUAAG